UACAGAGGUGGCAAGCGUUGUUCGGAAUUACUGGGCGUAAAGGGCGCGUAGGCGGCUUACUAAGUCAGACGUGAAAUCCCCCGGCUUAACCUGGGAACUGCGUCUGAUACUGGGAGGCUUGAGUAUGGGAGAGGGAUGUAGAAUUCCAGGUGUAGCGGUGAAAUGCGUAGAUAUCUGGAGGAAUACCGGUGGCGAAGGCGGCAUCCUGGACCAUAACUGACGCUGAGGCGCGAAAGCUAGGGGAGCAAACGGG
rnacentral:rRNA from 1 species